UUACGACCACACCACGUUGAAACACCGGUUCCCGUACGAUCAACAAAGUUAAGCAACGUCGAGCCUGGUCAGUACCUCGAUUGGUGACCCCUUGGGAAUACGAGGUGCUGUG